rnacentral:rRNA from 1 species
AACGAACGCUGGCGGCGUGGUUUAGGCAUGCAAGUCGAGCGAGAAAGUCCUUCGGACGAGUACAGCGGCGAAAGGGUAGAGUAAUAUAUAGGUAACCUACCUCUUGGACUCGGAUAAUUCCUGGAAACGGGUUGUAAUACGAGAUCGUCCUAUUGGGUCGCAUGGCCCGACUGGUAAAUGGUAGCUCUGCUUCUGCCGAGAGAGGGGCCUAUAUCCUAUUAGCUAGUUGGUGAGGUAAUGGCUCACCAAGGCUUUGAUGGGUAGCCGGACUGAGAGGUUGGCCGGUCACACUGGGACUGAGACACUGCCCAGACUCCUACGGGAGGCUGCAGUCGAGAAUCUUCCGCAAUGGGCGAAAGCCUGACGGGGGCGACGCCGCGUGAACGAAGAAGG